AGUGUCCAAUGCGGGGAUCGAACCCGGGUCAUAGUGGUCAAAAGCCAAUGGUUUAGACCACUCGUCCACCGAACC